rnacentral:rRNA from 1 species
CCUACGGGCGGCAGCAGUGAGGAAUAUUGGUCAAUGGACGAGAGUCUGAACCAGCCAAGUAGCGUGAAGGAUGACUGCCCUAUGGGUUGUAAACUUCUUUUAUAUGGGAAUAAAACGUUCCACGUGUGGGAUUUUGUAUGUACCAUAUGAAUAAGGAUCGGCUAACUCCGUGCCAGCAGCCGCGGUAAUACGGAGGAUGCGAGCGUUAUCCGGAUUUAUUGGGUUUAAAGGGAGCGUAGGUGGAUUGUUAAGUCAGUUGUGAAAGUUUGCGGCUCAACCGUAAAAUUGCAGUUGAAACUGGCAGUCUUGAGUACAGUAGAGGUGGGCGGAAUUCGUGGUGUAGCGGUGAAAUGCUUAGAUAUCACGAAGAACUCCGAUUGCGAAGGCAGUUCACUGGACUGCAACUGACACUGAGGCUCGAAAGUGUGGGUAUCAAACAGGAUUAGAUACCCGUGUAGUC